rnacentral:rRNA from 1 species
AUGGCCGUGUCCGUGGGCAAGCAAUGGACGCGGGUGCGCACGCUCGGCCGCGGCGCCUCGGGGGCCGAGGUCUUCCUGGCCGCCGACGACGCCUCCGGGGAGCUCUUCGCGGUCAAGUCGGCGAGCUCGGCUUGCGCGGCGGCGCUGAGGAGGGAGCAGUGCAUCAUGUCCGGCCUGCGCUCCCCGCGCGUCGUCUCUUGCAUCGGCGGCCGCGGCGCCCGUGACGGCUCCUACCAGCUCUUCCUCGAGUUUGCCCCCGGCGGCUCGCUGGCCGACCGAGUGGCGAUCCACGGGGGCCUCGACGAGCGUGCCCUGCGCGGCUACGCGGCCGAUGUGGCGGCCGGGCUCGCGUACCUCCACGGCGCCGGGAUGGUGCACGGGGACGUCAAGGCGCGCAACGUCGUCAUCGGCGCCGAUGGCCGAGCCCAGCUCGCAGAUUUUGGGUGCGCGAGGAAGGCGGGAGCCGGUGGCGGGCCGAUCAUCGGCGGCACGCCGGCGUUCAUGGCGCCCGAGGUGGCGCGCGGCGAGGAGCAGGGCCCCGCGGCCGACGUCUGGGCGCUCGGCUGCAUGGUUGUCGAGAUGGCCACUGGACGCGGGCCGUGGAGCGGCAUGGACGGCAACGCGCUCGCGGCGCUGCACCGGAUCGGCUACACGGAGGCCGUGCCCGAGGUUCCCGAAUGGCUAUCCGCCGACGCGAAGGACUUCUUGGCCAGAUGCCUUGUCAGGCAGGCCAGCGGCCGGUGCACGGCCGAGCUGCUGCUGGAGCACCAGUUCCUGGCCUCGGCUGCCGUCGACGCGAAGCCGCGAACCAUGGAGGGCAAAUUGGUGUCGCCGAAGAGCACGCUGGACGCAGCAUUCUGGGAAUCGAAUUCAGACACGGAUGAGGCGGAGCACGACAGCUCGGCCGAGAUGAGGAUGAGGGCAUUGGCCUGCCCUGCCUCGGCGCUCCCGGACUGGGACUCCGAGGAGGGAUGGAUCGAUGUGCUCGCCGCGCCAACUGAAGCACCCGACGCAGUGCCCCUGGUGAUCGAGGAGAUGACCGACCUGGACAACGGCGCGAUCACAAACGAAGAACCCAGCGGCGCAGAGUCCGGCGUUCUCCCCAUUACUUUGGACGUGGAGUACAACGGCGAUGGCAAUAUAGCCUACGACGAUUCAGUUAGGCAUCGUCAGUCUUUUGAGUGUUUAGCUUGCCACGAAUUAUCAUGUACCGAAUUGUUGCUUUGCAACACAAAGAGUAAUGCAAAUGAUCUCGCUCUUGCACAAGCACUCCGUUUUCGUACUGCUGCUCUAUGUUUCACCGCUCCCCAUUGCGACACCUUCGAUUAG